rnacentral:rRNA from 1 species
AUUGAACGCUGGCGGCGUGCCUAACACAUGCAAGUCGAGCGGUAACAGGUGUAGCAAUACAUGCUGACGAGCGGCGAACGGGUGAGUAAUGCUUCGGAAUCUGCCCAUGUAGUGGGGAAUAACCAGCCGAAAGGUUGGCUAAUACCGCAUACGACCCUUGCCCACAAGGCAAAGGUGAAAGCAGGGGAUCGCAAGACCUUGCGCUAUUGGAUGAGCCGAAGUCGGAUUAGCUAGUUGGUAGGGUAACGGCCUACCAAGGCGACGAUCCGUAGCUGGUCUGAGAGGACGACCAGCACACUGGGACUGAGACACGGCCCAGACUCCUACGGGAGGCAGCAGUGGGAAUAUUGGACAAUGGGGCAACCCUGAUCCAGCGACGCCGCGUGUGUGAAGAAGGCCUGC